GUUUUCAUUAGUUUUAGGACAACAAACUUGUAUAAUAUCAAGAGAAGAGUGAGACGCCAGUACAAUGGGUAAACUACGGUCGUUUUACGUGGAACUGCUGGAUCCACAACAGGUGUAUUUUGCUGGACAAACCAUUAAUGGCAGACUGGUAGUGGAACUGGAUGCCGAGAUGAAAAUGAGAGAAAUAAGAUUGAAAUUUAAGGGGUUGGCUUAUGUCCAUUGGACGGAACAACAGACCAUUAGUACCGGAAAGACUACAAUAACCACAACUAGACAUUAUAGCGCCACUGAGAACUAUUUCGAGAAAACUGUGCCCGUAUACGGAAAAGGCCUGGGAACGGGUGAUGAUAACCAGUUACCCCCGGGACAGCAUGUGUACCCCUUCACCUUUACACUUCCUCCUAAUCUACCCUCAUCAUUUGAAGGAGGCACGGGCUACGUAAGGUACACAAUCAAGGGGACCAUUGACAAGCCAUGGAAGUUUGACCACAACACCAAAAGGCCUUUUACUGUCAUCGCUUUACUGGACUUGAACACUCAGCCUAAUGCUGCGACUGGAGCGCAGAACCAAGAGAGCAAGUUCCUGUGCUGUUUAUGCUGCAGGUCCGGACCAAUAUCCGGUACACUCAGCCUGAACCGAAGCGGGUAUGUCCCCGGGGAGGCCAUCCACUUCAACGCGGAAAUCCAAAACAUGACCAGCCGAGUGUGCGGUUGCUUUGUCAAACUUAAUAUGACCACCAUAUUCCAUGCCACCACGAAAUCCAAGACAACCACUACUGAGGUGGCUAGGGUGGUACAUCAGGAUGUCCAGCCCGGGGAGACAGAAACAUGGACCGGUGACCGGCUUAUGAUCCCUCCCCUACCCCCGUCAUUCCUGGUGGGGUGUAGGAUUAUAGACAUCAACUAUUACUUAGAAUUGACCGUUGAUCCCUCUGGACCAGCUAUAGACCUUCACGUACCCGUACAUGUCAUCAUUGGAACGACACCCCUCCGUUCAGUUGUCCAACAAUACCAGACACAGUUCGGAAUGUCCACCCCAGAGACACCGGCGUUACCCUCUCCCGGUCCAGCCCCAAACCCCUCUGUAGCCCCAACCGACAAGUUGAAUUUACCGCCCCCUAGCUACAGUGAGUGUGUGUUCGGUAAAACCAACAUCCGGGAGGAAGACGACUCCGAACACACACGGGGAGAAAUGGACUACGCCCCGGCCUACACCUAUUAUGACUGGUCCAAACAGUCUCAGUUCCAGUAGCUGACAACCCCCUUCUUUAAUCCAUUGUUUAUAAUGAAUUUGAGGUGGGGUGGGGCUUUAUUAGUCAAUUUGCUCUACGGUUUAAUAAUCUGAGAUGUUUCGUCGUCUUGUUUAAUAUCGGGGUUUUUUUCGUAUUAAACUAUAUAAAUGAUUAUUGGUUAAUAUUAAUUAAACAUGUUUUUUUUUCAAUCAUAGUUGAGAGUAUCACUGUAAUCUUUAUUUAAAAUACUGGUUUAUUGAUGUAUCAUAUAAAAGAUGAAGGCAUAUUUUCUUUUGAUUUGGCGUCAAGUGUAAUCAUUUUGAUAUCAUAUGAAAAAUAUUUUAGAUACUUUUUCAUUAUAAUCAUGAAUUCUUAGUUCGCCAAUUGUCAGUUUUGACUAUAUUGUGAGUUUGAUUAUUUGAUAACAGUUAAAAGGACAUUCAGGAUUAUACGCUAUAGUAUACAAAGAAAUAUUCGACCCCGUUUUAUUUUCGCCCCUUUCGCCCGCGUUGUCAGCGGGUGAAUUUAAGACUGGGCGAAUUCCUAUGUCUUCAACUAUCUUUCUUUUAACACAACUGUGUCAGGGCGAAUUCAAAACAGGGCGAAACCGUUUGCAAGUGAAAAAGGGCGAAAUUAACCCUUUAUGCAGUAACUGUACAUAUUACAUAAAUUAUAUGGUGAUAAGAUUAGUUAACGUGAUGUUUGAUUUAAAUUGUAUUCUGUAUUCAUUUGUAUUUGUAUAUGAUAAAAUGUAUUCAAA
rnacentral:misc_RNA from 1 species